ACUACAGACCGCUCUGUCGCCUUUCGGGGAGGAAAGUCCGGACAACACAGAGCACCGCACCACCUAACGGGUGGACUUUCCGGAGCAGUCCGGGAAGAUAGAAAGUGUCACAGAAAAUAACCGCUCCGCUCCGGCGAUCCGGAUCGGAGCAAGGGUGAAAACGUGCGGUAAGAGCGCACGAUCCUUCCGGGUAACCGGCGGGAGGGACAAACCUUGCGGGUUGAAAUGCCACAUACACCUUGUUCAUGCGUUGCUCGCGCAUCGACCCGGCGCAAGCCGGACGGCAAGGGGGGUAGGCAGCGCAAACUGCUCCGGGCGACCGGAACGGUCAGAUAAAUGACAGAGCCUCCGGUGCGAACCGGAGAGACAGAAUCCGGCUUACAGGUCUGUAGUUCUU
rnacentral:RNase_P_RNA from 1 species